CAAAUUCGCCAUCUUGGUGUGUGACUGACUCUUACAUUUGUCACCAAGUCUUUACCAAUUAAGGACGUGCAAGGCAAACACCAAGUUUAAGCAGGUAAUUAUAGGUGGAAAUGGCUCUUGGCCCCGCUACCGUGGAGGAACGAGAGGGAUACAUUGUGGAGGCGAUUCUCGAUAAGCGAGUUGUGGAUGGGGCGACGGAAUAUCUGAUAAAGUGGAAGGGCCAUGAAGAGGAGGACAACACUUGGGAGGAGGGGGAAAAUUUGAUCUGUCACGAUCAAAUUGAAGCGUUCGAGGCUCAAGGGAAGUCAAAGGAGGCGACCACGUCCAACACCGGACCAGAGUAGAAUUCUUUGCAUUUCGAAAUUAGGUUUUUUUUAAGCAACUGGAACCUUUCAUUGUUGAUUUAAAUAUUUCACAUUUGUACAAUGUUAAGAAAAUAAAUUUCUUGAAAUAAC